rnacentral:rRNA from 1 species
GGAUUAGAUACCCUGGUAGUCCUAGCCGUAAACGAUUGGCACUAAGUAGGGGGCCUCCCAAGGGUUCCCUGCCGUAGCUAAUGUGUUAAGUGCCCCGCCUGGGGAGUAUGGUCGCAAGGCUAAAACUCAAAGGAAUUGACGGGGGCUCACACAAGCGGUGGAGCAUGUUGUUUAAUUCGAUCAACGCGAAGAACCUUACCUGGGCUUGACAUCUACGUGGUACCAAACCGAAAGGGGCGGGACCCUCUUUGAGGGAGCGUAGACAGGUAUUGCAUGGCUGUCGUCAGCUCGUGUUG